CCUUCCUCUUGGGAUUGCUCAGAAUCAUAGGCGAACCCCAGCCAAAGGCGACCAGAGCUUCUAUUAAAAAGCUAAUUGGGAGGCCAGGAGUUGCCCUCCCUGAAGGUGUUGCUGGCGGUGGCAUUAUUGGUGUGCUUGGUUUCUUCUGGAUGAUGAAGUUUGCUCCUCCUCUGGCUGUAAUUUCCUCACUGACAGCAACACGUACGUGGACUCUCACAGUACGUAAUAUUUUGGGGGUGACACCCCUGACGCCACACCGUUGUGUGUGUUGAGGGGAACCAGACUAUACCUCUUUGACCUAAAAUCAACCUCAAGCAGAAGGCAAUUAGGAGGAGCACGGUCUACCUCCACUGUGUCCUUCCUAAAGGAGAGGCAGGCUGCCAGUCCUCCUGGGAGACCACAGAUCAUAGUCCAGGCUGCCUCAGAGGACUGGAAAGCGGAGGGCCGUGUGCACAUCCAUGCUUAAAGCCGAGCAGCUCACGCUAGCUCACUCCGGUGGCUGCCGCGGUGCAGGUCUGCAGGUGAACUGAGGAGAACACAAGGCGUUCAGACACGAAGAAUGAACCCCAGUCUUCUGCAGGAGAAGCAACGGCUCUGGAGACCUUCGUGGUACGUGAAAGCCUGUAGAAAACCAGAAGCCCCUACAGGAGGGCACCCGGCAUAUCCGUGACACACGCCACGAGAAUCACACGGGCAACGUGUACACGGCACAUCGUGCUCCACAGCUGUCCCUUGCUGGUCGAGUCCAUACACACGGGCCUUGCCUUCCUCAGUAAAACCUU